UACGUAGGGGGCAAGCGUUGUCCGGAAUUAUUGGGCGUAAAGAGCUCGUAGGCGGUUUGUCGCGUCUGCUGUGAAAACUCGGGGCUUAACCCCAGUCCUGCUUUCGAUACGGGUGGACUAGAGGUAGGCAGGGGAGAAUGGAAUUCCUGGUGUAGCGGUGAAAUGCGCAGAUAUCAGGAGGAACACCGGUGGCGAAGGCGGUUCUCUGGGCCUUACCUGACGCUGAGGAGCGAAAGCAUGGGGAGCAAACAGG
rnacentral:rRNA from 1 species